GGGUUUGAAAAGAAUGAAUCAUCUGAUGAAGAGACAUUAAUCCCAGCUUCUUGUGCCCACCUCACGUACUGAUCUUUUCCACCAAACGCGUUCAAAUUAUUCACUAGACUGAGGAUUAACCUUAUGCCAUGCNNNNNCACAAAGUCUAACCCCUGAAAGGCCCUCUCGUUGAAGACACCAGGAGAGAGCUGCAAACCAUUAGGACCAUGGCCAUCACUGAAAGCCCAAGUCCUGCAGACAGUCAACCCCAUUUGGGAUCCUCUCUUAAGCAUCUUGGAUACCUUGGAUCUUGAAGAGGUCCACACACUUUCUUCC
rnacentral:misc_RNA from 1 species